ensembl:snRNA U6 U6 spliceosomal RNA
GUGCUCACUUUGGCAGCACAUAUAAUAAUAUUAGAAUGAUACAGAGAAGACUAGCAUGGUUCCUGCACAAGGAUGACACACAAAUUCAUGAAGCAUUCCAUAUUUUU